CAGCAUAAUGGAUAGCAAUAUCUAUGGUGGCGACCGGCGCACGGGUGCGUAACGCGUAUGCAACCUACCUUUAACAGGGGGAUAACACUGAGAAAUUGGUACUAAUACCCCAUAAUAUCAUAGAAGGCAUCUUUCGGAGUUGAAAGCUUUGGUGGUAAAGGAUGGGCAUGCGUUGUAUUAGCUAGUUGGUAAGGUAACGGCUUACCAAGGCGACGAUACAUAGGGGGACUGAGAGGUUGAACGGCCACAUUGGGACUGAGACACGGCCCAGACUCC
rnacentral:rRNA from 1 species